UUGAAGUUUGUGGCAACUUAUGAACUUGAGUUUGUUUGGCUUGAUUUUUUGGCAAUUGUUGAACUUGAGUUUGUGGUUUUAGUGAACUUUAGUUGGUGGCAAUUGUUGAACUUGAGUUUGUGGCGUUUGUUGAACUUGAGUUUGUGGCGUUUGUUGAACUUGAGUUUGUGAAGUGUUUGAACUUGAGUUUGUGUUUUUUUUAAGGUUGUGGCAAUUGUUAAACUUGAGAAUCGAGUGUUGGUUGAACUUGAGUUUGAGGUGUUCAUUAAACUUGAGUUUGUGGCAUAUUUGAACUUGAGUUUAUUAUGUUUUUUGAACUUGAGGUUCUGGUGUUUUUGAACUUAAGUUUGUGGAAAUUGUUGAACUUGAGGAUCGGGUAUUGCUUGAACUUGACUUGUUGUGUUUGUUGAACUUGAGUUUGUGUCGUUUUUGAACUUCAGUUUGUGUGGUGUUUUUGAACUUGAGUUUGUGAAGUGUUUGAACUUGAGUUUAAGGCGUGUUUCAACUUGAGUUUGUGGUGUUUUUUAAACUUGAGGCUGUGGAAAUUGUUAAACCUGAGAAUCGGGUGUUGGUUGAACUUGAGUUUGUCUGUUUUUUGAACUUGAGUUUGUGUCCUGUAUGAACUUGAGUUUGUGGUGAUUUUUGAAUUGAGUUUGUGGUGUUUUUGAACUUGAGUUUGUGUUGUUUUUGAACUUAAGGUUGUGGAAAUUGUUAAACUUGAGAAUUGGGUAUUGGCUAAACUUGAGUUUGUGUGUUUGUGAAGUGUUUGAACUAGAUUUUCUGGUUAUUUUUGAACUUGAGUCUGUGUGUUUUUUGAACUUGAGUUUGUGGUGUGUCUGAACUUGAGUUUUUGUUUUUUUUUAACUUGAGUUUUGAACUUGAGUCUUUGGUUUUUAGUGUCCUUUAUUUAGUGGCAAUUGUUAAACUUGAGUUUGUGGCAUGUUUGAAAAUGAGUUUGUGGCGUGUUUGAACUUGAGUUUGUGUUGUUUUUGAACUAGAGGUUGUGGCAAUUGUUAAACUUGAGAUCUGGGUUUUGGUUGAACUUGAGUUUGUGGUGUUUUUGAACUUGAGUUUGUGUCAUGUUUGAAUUUCAGUUUGUGUGUUUUUUAUCUUGAGUUUGUGGCAAUUUAUGAACUUGAGUUUGUUGAACUUGAGUUUGUGGUUUUUAGUGAACUCUAGUUGGUGGCAUCUUUGAACUUGAGUUUGUGGCAUUUGUUGAACUUGAGUUUGUGAUGUGUUUGAACUUGAGUUUGUGGCAUUUGUUGAACUUGAGUUUGUGGUGUUUUUGAACUUGAGUUUGUGUCGUAUUUGAACUUGAGUUUGUGGCGUGUUUGAACUUGAGUAUCUGUUGUCUUUGAACUUGAGGUUGUGGCAAUUGUUAAACUUGAGGUUUGGGUGUUGGUUGAUCUUGAGUUUGUGUCUUGUUUGAACUUUUGUUUUUGGAUUUUUUUGAACUAGAAUUUGUGUGGUUUUUUAACAAAAGUUUGUGGCAACUUAUGAACUUGAGUAUGUUGAAAUUAAGUUUGUGGCAAAUGUUGCAUUUGAGUUUGUGGUUUUUUUAAACUUGAGUUUGUGUCGUGUUUACACUCUAGGUUGUGGUGUUUUUGAACUUGAGUUUGUGUGUUUUUGAACUUGAGGUUGUGGUAAUUGUUAAAGGUGAGAAUUGGGUAUUGGUUAAACUUGAGUUUGUGUGUUUGUGAAGUGUUUGAACUAGAUUUUCUGGUUAUUUUUGAACUUGAGUCUGUGUGUUUUUUGAACUUGAGUUUGUGGUGUGUCUGAACUUGAGUUUUUGUUUUUUUUUAACUUGAGUUUUGAACUUGAGUCUUUGGUUUUUAGUGUCCUUUAUUUAGUGGCAAUUGUUAAACUUGAGUUUGUGGCGUGUUUGAACUUGAUUUUGUGGUUUUUUUGCACCUGAGUUUGUGUCGUGUUUGAACUUAAUAUUGUGCUGUUUUGUGAUCUUGAAUUUGUAUGGUUUUUUUUUAACUUGAGUUUUUGGUGUCUUUGAAUAUGAGUUUCUGUUGUUUUUGAACAUGAAGUUGUGGCAAUUGUUAAACUUGAGAUUUGGGUGUUGGUUGAAAUAAAGUUUCGGUGUUUAAGUUUGUGGUGUUUUUGAACUUGAGUUUGUUGCAAUUUUUGAACUUGAGUUUGUUGAACGUGAGUUUAUGGCAAUUGUUUAAUGUGAGUAUAGGUCAUUUGUUGAAUUUGAAAUUUUGGCAUUUUUUGAACUUCAGCUUGUGAUGUUUGUUGAACUUGAGUUUGUGGCAAUUGUUAACCUUGAGUCUGUAUUUUUCUCUGAACUUUAGUUGGUGGCAAUUGUUGAACUUGAAUUUGUGGCGUUUGUUGUACUUGAGUUUGUGGCGUGUUUUUGAACUUGAGUUUGUCUGUAUGUUGAAAUUGAGUUUUUGGCGUGUUUGAACUUGAUUUUGUUUUGUUUCUGAACUUGAGGUUUUUGAAUUUGUUAAACAUGAGAAUUGGGUAUUGAUUGAACUUGAGUUCGUGUGUUUGUUGAACUUUAGUUUGUGUUGUUUAGAACUUGAGUUUGUGGUGUUUUUGAACUUGAGGAUGUGGAAAUUGUUAAACCUGAGAAUUGGGUAAUGGUUAAACUUGAGUUUGUGUGUUUGUUGAACCUUAGUUUGUGUCGUGUUUGAACUUGAGAUUGUGGUGUUUUUGAACUUGAAUUUUUGUGUUCAUUUAACUUGAGUUUGUGGAGUUUUUGAAUUUGAGUUUCUGUUGUCUUUGAACUUGAAGUUGUUGCAAUUGUUAAACUUGAGAUUUGGGUGUUGGUUGAACUUCAGAUUCGGUGUUGUGGUGUUUUUGAACUUGAAUUUGUGUGUUUUUUUAACUUGAGUUUGUUGCAAUUUUUGAACUUGAGUUUGUUGAACUUGAGUUUUUGGCAAUUGUUAAAUGUGAGUUUUGGUCAUUUGUUGAAUUUGAAAUUUUGGCAUUUUUUGAAUUUAAGAUUGUGGUGUUUGUUGAACUUAAGUUUGUGGCAAUUGUUGAACUUGAGUCUGUAUUUUUCCCUGAACUUUAGUUGGUGGCAAUUGUUGAACUUGAGUUUGUGGCGUUUGUUGUACUUGAGUUUGUGGCGUGUUUGAACUUGAGUUUCUGUUGGUUUUUUGAACUUGAGGUUGUUGAAAUUGUUAAACUAGAGACUUGGGAUUUGGUUGAACUUGAGUUUGUGUCGUGUUUGAACUUGAGUUACUGUUGUUUUUUAACUUGAGGUUGUGGCAAAUGUUACACUUAAGAUUUGGGUGCUGGUUGAAAUUGAGUUUGUUUGUUUGUCUAACUUGAGUUUGUGGCGUGUUUUAACUUGAAUUUUUGUUGUUUUUUAACUUGAGUUUUUGGCAAUUGUUAAUCUUUAGAUUUGGGUGUUGGUUGAACUUAAAACUUUGACAUUUGUUGAACUUUGUGGUGUUUUUGAACUUGAGUUUGUGUUUCUUGUUUGAACUUGAGUCUUUGGUGUUUUUGAACCUUAGUUUGUGUGUUUAUUUAAACUUAAAUUUGUGGCAAUUGUUAAACUUUGUGUGUUGUUUGAACUUGAGUUUGUGGUGUUUUUGAACUUGAGUUUGUGGCGUGUUUUAACUUGAGUUUCUGUUGUUUUUGAACUUAAGUUUUUGUGAUUUUUGAACUUGAUUUGUGGUGUUUUUGAACUUGAGUUUGUGGCGUUUGUUGAACUUGAGUUUGUGGCGUGUUUUAACUUGAAUUUUUGGUGUUUUUUAAUUUGAGGUUUUGGCAAUUGUUAAGCUUUAGAUUUGGGUGUUGGUUGAACUUAAAACUUUGACAUUUGUUGAAAUUUGUGGUGUUCAUUUAACUUGACUUUGUGUCUUGUUUGAACUUGACUUUGUGGUGUUUUUGAACUUGAUUUUGUGUGUUUUUUGAACUUGAGUUUUUGGUGUUUUUGAACGUGAGUUUGUGUGUUUUUUAAACUUGAGAUUUGUGUGUUGUUUGAACUUGAGUUUGUGGUGUUUUUGAACUUGAGUUUGUGUGUUUUUCGGACUUAAGUUUGUGGUGUUUUUGAACUUGAGUUUGUGUGUUUUUUGAACUUAAGUUUGUGGCAAUUGUUUAAUGUGAGUAUAGGUCAUUUGUUGAAUUUGAAAUUUUGGCAUUUUUUGAACUUAAGCUUGUGGUGUUUGUUGAACUUGAGUUUGUGGCAAUUGUUAACCUUGAAUCUGUAUUUUUCUCUGAACUUUAGGUGCUGGCAAUAUUUGAACUUGAAUUUGUGGCGUUUGUUGUACUUGAGUUUGUGUAUCGUGUUUGAACUUGAGUUUGUUGUGUUUUUGAUCUUGAGCUUGUGUGUUUUUUGAACUGAAGUUUGUGGCAAUUGUUAAACUUGUGACUUUGGUGUUGGUUGAACUUGAGAUUGUGGUGUUUUUGAACUUGAGUUUGUGAAGUGUUCGAACUAGAUUUUCUGGUUAUACUUGAACUUGAGUCUGUGUGUUUUUUGAACUUGAGUUUGUGGUGUGUCUGAACUUUUUUGUUUUUGUUUUUUUUUAACUUGAGGUUGUGGAAAUUGUUAAACUUACGAAUUGGGCAUUGGUUGAACUUGAGUUUGUGUGUUUGAACUUGAGUUUUUGUCGUUUAGAACUUGAGUUUGUGGUGUUUUUGAAAUUGAGUUUGUGUGUUUGUUGAACUUGAGUUUUUGCAUGUUUGAACGUGAGUUUGUGGUGUUUUCGAACUUGAGGUUUUGGCAAAUGUUAAACUUGAUAUUUGGGUGUUGUUUGAGUUUGUGUCGUGUUUGAACUUGAAUUUGUGUCGUGUUUGAACUUGAGCUUGUGGAAAUUGUUAACCUUGAGUCUGUAUUUUUCUCUGAACUUUAGGUUUUGGCAAUUGUUAAACUUGAGAUAUGGGUGUUGGUUGAAAUUGAGAUUGUGGCUUUUUUUGAAUUUGAGUUUGUGGUAUGUUUGAACUUGAGUUUCUGUGGUUUUUGAACUUGAGGUUGUGGAAAUUGUUAAACUUGAGAUUUCGGUGUUGAUUGAACUUGAGUUUGUUGCGUGUUUGAACUUGAGUUCGUGGUGUUUUCGAACUUGAGUUUUUGUGUUUGUUGAACUUGAGUUUGUGGCGUGUUUGAACUUGAGUUUGUGGAGUGCUUUUGAACUUGAGUUUGUCUGUAUGUUGAAAUUGAGUUUUUGGCGUGUUUGAACUUGAUUUUGUUUUGUUUCUGAACUUGAGGUUUUUGAAUUUUUUAAACAUGAGAAUUGGGUAUUGAUUGAACUUGAGUUCGUGUGUUUGUUGAACUUAAGUUUGUGUCGUUUAGAACUUUAGUUUGUGGUUUUUUUGAACUUGAGGAUGUGGAAAUUGUUAAACCUGAGAAUUGGGUAAUGGUUAAACUUGAGUUUGUGUGUUUGUUGAACCUUACUUUGUGUCGUGUUUGAACUUGAGAUUGUGGUAUUUUUGAACUUAAAUUUUUGUGGUUUUUUUAACUUGAGUUGUGGAGUUUUUGAAUUUGAGUUUCUGUUGUCUUUGAACUUGAAGUUGUUGCAAUUGUUAAACUUGAGAUUUGGGUGUUGGUUGAACUUCAGAUUCGGUGUUGUGGUGUUUUUGAAUUUGAAUUUGUGUGUUUUUUGAACUUGAGUUUGUUGCAAUUUUUGAACUUGAGUUUGUUGAACUUGAGUUUUUGGCAAGUGUUAAAUGUGAGUUAAGGUCAUUUGUUGAAUUUGAAAUUUUGGCAUUUUUUUGAACUUGAGUCUGUAUUUUUCCCUGAACUUAAGUUGGUGGCAAUUGUUGAACUUGAGUUUGUUUGCUUGUCUAACUGGAGUUUGUGGCGUGUUUUAACUUGAAUUUUUGUUGUUUUUUAACUUGAGUUUUUGGCAAUUGUUAAUCUUUAGAUUUGACUGUUGGUUGAACAUGAGUUUGUGUCCUGUUUGAACAUGAGUUUGUGUUGUUUGUUUAACUUGACUUUCUGUCGUGUUUGAACUUGACUGUGUGGUGUUCAUUUAACUUGAGUUUGUGUCUUGUUUGAACUUUACUUUUUGGUGUUUUUGAACUUGAGUUUGUGUUUCUUGUUUGAACUUGAGUCUUUGGUGUUUUUGAACUUUAGUUUGUGUCGUUUUUGAACUUGAGUUUGUGUCGUUUUUGAACUUGAAUUUGUGUGUUUGGUGAACUUGAGUUUGCUUUUUUUUUAAAUUGAGUUUCUGUUGUUUUUGAACUUAAGGUUGUGGAAAUUGUUAAACUUGAGAAUUAGGAGUUGGAGUUGAAUUUGAGUUUGUGUGUUUGUUGAAUUUGAGUUUGUGUCGUGUUUCAACUUGAGUUUGUGGUGUUUUUUAACUUAAGUUUGUGUGUUUGUUGAACUUGAGUUUGUGUUGUGUUUGAACUUGAGUUUGUGGCAUUGUUGAACUUGAGUUUGUGUGUUUGUUGAACUUGAGUUUGUGUCAUGUUUGAACUUGAGUUUGUGUUUGUUGAACUUGAGUUUGUGUGUUUGUUGAACUUGAGUUUGUGUCAUGUUUGAACUUGAGUUUGUGUGUUUGUUUAACUUGAGUUUGUGUUGUGUUUGAACUUGAGUUUGUGGUGUUUUUUAACUGGAGUUUGUUUCGUGUUUGAAUUUGAGUUUUUGGCAUUUGUUAAACUUCAGUUUGUGUCGUGUUUGAACUUUAGUUUGUGGUGUUUUUGAACUUGAGGGUGUGGAAUUGUUUGAACUUGAGUUUGUGGUGUUUUCGAACUUGAGGGUGUGGAAUUGUUUGAACUUGAGGUUGUGGCAAUUGUCAAACUUGAGUUUGUGUGUUUGUUGAACUUGAGUUUGUGUUGUGUUUGAACUUGAGUUUGUGGUGUUUUUUAACUUGAGGGUGUGGAAUUGUUUGAACUUGAGGUUGUAGCAAUUGUCAAACUUGAGUUUGUGUGUUUGUUGAACUUGAGUUUUAUUUUGUGUUUGAACUUGACUUUGUGUGUUUGUUGAACUUGAGUUUGUGUUGUGUUUGAACUUGAGUUUGUGGUGUUUUUUAACUUGAGUUUGUUUUUCGUGUUUGAAUUUGAGUUUUUGGCAUUUGUUGAACUUGAGUUUGUGUUGUGUUUGAACUUGAGUUUGUGGUGUUUUUGAACUUGAGGGUGUGGAAUUGUUUGAACUUGAGGUUGUGGCAAUUGUCAAACUUGAGUUUGUGUGUUUGUUGAACUUGAGUUUGUGUUGUGUUUGAACUUGAGUUUGUGGUGUUUUUUAACUUGAGUUUGUUUCGUGUUUGAAUUUGAGUUUUUGGCAUUUGUUGAACUUGAGUUUGUGUUGUGUUUGAACUUGAGUUUGUGUGUUUGUUGAACUUGAGGUUGUGGCAAUUGUUAAACUUGAGAUUUUGGUGUUGGAUGAACUUGAGAUUGUGUCGUGUUUGAACUUGAGUAUGUGUUGUUUUUGAAUUUGAGUUUGUGGAAUUUGUUGAACAUGAGAUUGUGGCAAUUGUUAAACUUGAGUUAGUGUGUUUGUUGAACUUGAGUUUGUGUCGUGUUUGAACUUAAGUUAGUGUGUUUGUUGAACUUGAGUUUGUGUCAUGUUUGAACUUGAUUUUGUGUGUUUGUUGAACUUGAGUUUGUGUUGUGUUUGAACUUAAGUUUGUGGUGUUUUUGAACUUGAGUUUGUUUCGUGUUUGAAUUUGAGUUUUUGGCAUUUGUUGAACUUGAGUUUGUUUCGUGUUUGAACUUGAGUAUGUGGUGUUUUUGAACUUGAGGGUGUGGAAUGGUUUGAACUUGAGGUUGUGGCAUUUGUUAAACUUGAGUUUGUGUGUUUGUUGAACUUGAGUUUGUGUUGUGUUUGAAUUUUAGUUUUGGGCAUUUGUUGAACUUGAGUUUGUGUUGUGUUUGAAUUUGAGUUUUGGGCAUUUGUUGAACUUGAGUUUGUGUUGUGUUUGAACUUGAGUCUGUUGUUUUUGAACUUGAGGUUGUGGAAAUUGUUAAACUUGAGAAUCAGUUGUCUGCCGAACUUGAGUUUGUGUGUUUGUUGAACUUGAGGUUGUGGCAAUUGUUAAACUUGAGAUUUUGGUGUUGGAUGAACUUGAGAUUGUGUUGUGUUUGAACUUGAGUCUGUGUUGUUUUUGAAUUUGAGUUUGUGGAAUUUGUUGAACAUGAGGUUGUGGCAAUUGUUAAACUUGAGUUAGUGUGUUUGUUGAACUUGAGUUUGUGUCGUGUUUGAACUUAAGUUAGUGUGUUUGUAGAACUUGAGUUUGUGUCAUGUUUGAACUUGAGUUUGUGUGUUUGUUGAACUUGAGUUUGUGUUGUGUUUAAACUUGAGUUAGUGAUAAUUUUUAACUUGAGUUUGUUUCAUGUUUGAAUUUGAGUUUUUGGCAUUUGUUAAACUUCAGUUUGUGUCGUGUUUGAACUUGAGUUUGUGGUGUUUUUGAACUUGAGGGUGUGGAAUUGUUUGGACUUGAGGUUGUGGCAAUUGUUAAACUUGAUUUUGUGUGUCUGUUGAACUUGGGUUUUCGUUGUGUUUUAACUUGAGUUUGUGGUGGUUUUUGAACUUGAGUCUUUUGUUUGUAGAACUUGAGGUUGUGGAAAUUGUUAAACUUCAGAAUCAGUUGUCUGUUGAACUUGAGUUAGUGUGUUUGUUGAACUUGAGUUUGUGAUGUGAUCAAACUUGAGUUUUGGGUGUUUGUUUAACUUGAGUUUGUGUUGUGUUUGAACUUGAGUUUGUGUUUUUUUUAACUUCAGACUGUGUUGUUUUUGAACUUCAGGUUGUGAAAAUUUUUAAACUUGGAAUUGGGUAUUGGUUGAACUUGAGUUUUUGUUGUUUUUGAACUUGAGUUUGUGUCGUGUUUAAACUUGAGUUUGUGGUGUGUUUUUUAACUUGAGUUUGUGUGUUUGUUGUACUUGAGGUUUUGACAAUUGUUAAACUUGAGAUUUGGGUUAUGGUUGAACUUGAGUUUGUGUUGUUUUUGAACUUGCGUUCCUGUUAUUUGUUUAACUUGAAUUUGUGUGUUUUUUGAACUUGAGGUUGUGAAAAUUUUUUAACGUGAGAAUCAGGUGUUGGUUGAACUUGAGUUUGUGGUUUUUGUUGAACUUGAGGUUGUGUCGUGUUUGAACUUCAGUUUGUGUUUUUUUUUAACUUGAGUCUGUGUUGUUUUUGAACUUGAAGUUGUGAAAAUUGUUAAACUUGAGAAUUGGGUAUUGGUUGAACUUGAGUUCCUGAUUUUUUUUAACUUGAGUUUGUGUCGUGUUUAAACUUGAGUUUGUGUCAUGUUUGAACUUGAGUUUGUGUGUUUGUUGAACUUGAGUUUGUGUUGUGUUUAAACUUGAGUUAGUGAUAAUUUUUAACUUGAGUUUGUUUCAUGUUUGAAUUUGAGUUUUUGGCAUUUGUUAAACUUCAGUUUGUGUCGUGUUUGAACUUGAGUUUGUGGUGUUUUUGAACUUGAGGGUGUGGAAUUGUUUGGACUUGAGGUUGUGGCAAUUGUCAAACUUGAUUUUGUGUGUCUUGAACUUGGGUUUUCGUUGUGUUUUAACUUGAGUUUGUGGUGGUUUUUGAACUUGAGUCUUUUGUUUGUAGAACUUGAGGUUGUGGAAAUUGUUAAACUUUAGAAUCAGUUGUCUGUUGAACUUGAGUUAGUGUGUUUGUUGAACUUGAGUUUGUGGUGUUGUUGAACUUGGGUUUGUGGUGUUUUUGAACUUUAGGUUGUGGAAUUUGUUAAUCAUGAGAAUUGGGUAUUGGUUGAACUUGGGUUUUUGUUGUUUUUGAACUUGAGUUUGUGUCGUGUUUAAACUUGAGUUUGUGGUGUGUUUUUUAACUUGAGUUUGUGUGUUUGUUGUACUUGAGGUUUUGACAAUUGUUAAACUUGAGAUUUGGGUUAUGGUUGAACUUGAGUUUGUGUUGUUUUUGAACUUGCGUUCCUGUUAUUUGUUUAACUUGAAUUUGUGUGUUUUUUGAACUUGAGGUUGUGAAAAUUUUUAAACGUGAGAAUCAGGUGUUGGUUGAAAUUGAGUUUGUGGCGUUUGUUGAAUUUGAGUUUGUGUCGUGUUUAAACUUGAGUUUGUGGUGUUUUUGAACUUGAGUUUGUGUGCUUGUUGAACUUGAGGUUGUGGCAAUUGUUCAACUUGAGCAUCAGGUAUUGUUUGAACUUGAGUUUGUGGGUUUUGUUGAACUUGAGUUUGUGUCGUGUUUGAACUUGAGUUUGUGGUUUUUUCUAACUUGAGUGUGUGUUUUGUUUUAACUUGACAUUGUGGAAAUUGUUAAAUUUGAGAAUUGGGUAUUGGUUGAACUUGAGUUUUUGGUGUUUUUUAAAUUGAGUUUGUUUCGUGUUUGAACUUGAGUUUGUGCAAUUGUUGAACUUGAGUUUGUGGUGUGUUUGAACUUGAGUUUGUGGCGUGUUUGAACUUGAGGUUGUGGCAACCAACUUAAGAUUUGGGUGUUGGUUGAACUUGAGUUUGUGUCGUGUUUGAACUUGCGUUCGUGUUGUUUGUUUAACUUGAGUUUGUGUGUUUUUUGAACUUGAGGCUGUGAAAAUUUUUAAACUUGAGUAUCAGGUGUUGGUUGAACUUGAGUUUGUGGUGUUUUUGAACUUUAGCAUGUGUUGUUUUUGAACUUGAGGUUGUUGAAAUUGUUAAACCUGAGAAUUGGGUAUUGUUUGAACUUGAGUUUUUGGUGUUUUUGAACUUGAGGUUGUGGAAAUUGUUAAACUUGAGAAUUGG